rnacentral:tRNA from 1 species
GGUAAGGAGUUGUCUUAGUGUGGGUUGCUAACCUGCCACUAGAGAGAGUACGAGCUUUCCCUUACUU